rnacentral:rRNA from 1 species
UGGGGAAUUUUGCACAAUGGGGGCAACCCUGAUGCAGCGACGCCGCGUGAUUUAGAAGGCCUUCGGGUUUAAAAAUCUUUUGUAUGGGAAGAAAAUGACAGUACCAUACGAAUAAGGACCGGCUAAUUACGUGCCAGCAGCCGCGGUAAUACGUAAGGUCCGUGCGUUGUCCGGAAUCAUUGGGCGUAAAGGGUACGUAGGCGGAUAAGCAAGUUAGAAGUGAAAUCCUAUAGCUCAACUAUAGUAAGCUUUUAAAACUGCUCAUCUUGAGGUAUGGAAGGGAAAGUGGAAUUCCUAGUGUAGCGGUGAAAUGCGCAGAUAUUAGGAGGAAUACCGGUGGCGAAGGCGACUUUCUGGCCAUAAACUGACGCUGAGGUACGAAAGCGUGGGUAGCAAACAGG